CUAUAGGUACAGAAAAUGCUCAGGAUAAGUAGUCGCCGCAUUGAAACUGUUGGAAGUUAUUGAUGUUCUCGCAAACUUCCCAGACAUCUCAAUGGAGUCCGAAUUUGCGAUGGUAAAAAUGAAUGGUCAAGUAGUCGCAGGUGGUGAUAAAGCUCGAAAGACUAACGUUCACAUGUACAUAAAGGCUGUGUCAGUUCCAAAGCUUCACACCAAGCUUGGAGGAGAAGCAAAUCAGAAUACAGUGCAGAAGAUUGAUAAAAUGGCACGAGAAGGUUUCUGAAGCCAAAGGCAACCAAAGGCUAGGUGAUUCAUGUUGCAGUCUAUGCUGGAUGUGGAUAACAUUGAACCAUAAGGCAAGUCAGAUCUUCAUCCAGUGGGUCAUCGUAAGGAAGCAACAGCAGAGACACUCCACAUGCGGUGUGCUCCACUCUAUUGGAUCCUAUCUCACACGCAUGAGAAUAAGGAAUAAUUCACAUGAACACUGUUAAACAGGAGUGAUCACAGAAAAACUCCCACAAGCAGGGCUUAGUUCAGAGUUCAGUAGUUCUACUCUCAACCCUUCCAUUGCAUGUUUAUUUUCUCUUGGUACUGAACUGUUAAUGAACUUAAUUUUUUUUUUUUUUCCUGUUCCUAAAAUUGUGCGGCCAGCAAUUUCAAGGGAUUGGUUUGCAACUGGGAAUGAUAAUAAUAGAGCAAAUGGCUACAAAAUUUACCGUGAUGAUGUGAAGAGUGGUUCGUAGUAGUAGGUCCACGUCCACGUCCACCCAAUACAAGCGUUCUAGGAGUUUCAAACUUAUGAUUCAAGCUUCUCGAUCACCGUAUAAUGGUUUGCUAGAAGACAUGAUAUAAGAGUAUGAUUCGUCCAUAUGUGAGGGCGCUUUGGAUGGCUCGGUGGUGAUGGUAGCAAAGGAUUUUGGUUGCUGCCGAGUAUUGCAGGAAGGUAGGCCGAAAGCUGCUGCUGCAAUUAGUCCGGAAUGUGCCUGGUUCGGUGGUUGGUUGGCUGGCCGAAGGAGCUGCAGGGGCAGCGGAGACGCGCGGCUGUCCAAGAGGGCUGCAGGGGCAGCAGGAGUGCGGCAAGGCUAGCGUGGGCUAGGUGCUGCGGUAUUAAGGCUAGAAGGUUUCGGGUUUUUAUUUUUGUGGUUAGGGCUCGUGCUGAUAACGUGUUUAAGGAAUAGAGAAUUCGAGAGAG